AUUGAACGCUGGCGGAAUGCUUUACACAUGCAAGUCGAACGGCAGCACGGAGAGCUUGCUCUCUGGUGGCGAGUGGCGAACGGGUGAGUAAUAUAUCGGAACGUGUCCAAUAAUGGGGGAUAACGAGUCGAAAGAUUCGCUAAUACCGCAUACGCCCUACGGGGGAAAGCAGGGGAUCGUAAGACCUUGCGUUAAUGGAGCGGCCGAUAUCUGAUUAGCUUGUUGGUGAGGUAAAGGCUCACCAAGGCGACGAUCAGUAGCUGGUUUGAGAGAACGACCAGCCACACUGGAACUGAGACACGGUCCAGACUCCUACGGGAGGCAGCAGUGGGGAAUUUUGGACAAUGGGGGCAACCCUGAUCCAGCCAUUCCGCGUGAGUGAAGAAGGCCUUCGGGUUGUAAAGCUCUUUCGCAAGGGAAGAAAACUUAUGAUCGAAUAAAUCAUGAGGUUGACGGUACCUUGAUAAGAAGCACCGGCUAACUACGUGCCAGCAGCCGCGGUAAUACGUAGGGUGCGAGCGUUAAUCGGAAUUACUGGGCGUAAAGCGUGCGCAGGCGGUUUUGUAAGUCGGAUGUGAAAUCCCCGGGCUCAACCUGGGAACUGCGUUCGAAACUGCAAGGCUAGAGUGUGUCAGAGGGGGGUAGAAUUCCACGUGUAGCAGUGAAAUGCGUAGAGAUGUGGAGGAAUACCAAUGGCGAAGGCAGCCCC
rnacentral:rRNA from 1 species